AACGGCUAAUGUUGGCUCCGUGUAAUUAGUGCUCGGACCUUUGAUAAACCCUUGCGCGCACUGGUCCGUUCUUUGCAGUUCUUGAUUUUCUCUGGUGAUUUCUGAAGCUAAUUUAUUUUGGGCGCGCCCUAUGGCCUCGAGAGCAUCCAAGGAAUGCAUCGUCUGCAACGAAGACUUCUCCGAAGCCUCGCACUGCCCCAAGAUCCUGCCGUGCUUCCACUGCCUCUGCGCGCCUUGCAUAGAUGCCAUGAUCGCCAACGGCUGUAGAUCGUGCCCGAUCUGUCGCAAAGACUUCCGAGCAAAGGCCGCCAGUGAGCUGGGGACGAACUUCAACCUGCUGUACGUCCUGCAGUACGUGAGCGAGCUCGAGCAGUCUCGAGAAUCGUCGUCCAGUCAGAAGCUGAACGAAGAGAGCAUCGCGAAUUGCAGAAGAGCGGCUCGGCACCUGGACCACGCCAUGGACUGCAUCGCCGGUCUGAGGGCCGCCGCGACGCUCGCCGACGGCAGGUUAGACGCCGUCCUCGACGCGCUGAAGGAGAUGAAGGCGAGGAAUGGGAAAUUGUUGCGGACUCUCUCAGAGGACAGCACCAGGAUGCAGACGCAGGCAAACAGAAUUGCCGAUCGAGAGAAGUUCUUCGUGGGCUUGGGCGAGAUGAUGGACACAGGGAUGGGGAAUGUUUCCCCUCGAAGUCCCUCCGUGGAAACUGUCAAGAAAUUGAACACUGCCCUCAAAGGACUCAUGGAGGAUAUGAAGAGCCUUCUGAAUGACUGGGAAAGGAAACGCUUUAGUGCCCAGAAGGACAUAGAGAGAAGAAAGAACGCGAUCGACGUCAUAGAAGAAAUUUUGAUGUCCAGUGAGAGAGACGAAGGGAUAUGACGAGGUCACGCUCGAAGUGUUCUUCCAACUCGAGAUGUCCCCGACGAAGUCGUUUUCGAGGUCGUCCUCGAAGCUGAUGUACGUCCUUCUUGAGGGACCUCUCUCGCCACAGGAGGAAGGCGUCUAUAUAGACGUCAUCCUUGAGUGGCGUGACUGCUAACGUCUCUCGGGAGAUCACUGUUGUGUUGAGGAGGUCAUCCUCGAAAAGGACGUCAGUGAAGAGGUCCUCUUCGAGGGAAAGCCCUUAUUGCUUGGAAAGAUGCCGCAGAAGAGACUACCCGUUUGAACGCUUCUUUUGCUUACUAUUGUAAGGUUAUGAACGCUUUCCUCAAACCUACAGUGUUCUACUAAUAUAAUUCGUAAUGUGUGUAUGUCGAUCACCUUUUUUCGUGGACUGUGUAUGUCUGUAUCUCAACUACUUUUCGUGACCAGUGAUUGUAGAGUAACUUUUUUUCUAUAAUAAAGGUUGUACCACCCUCCAUUCAUCUCUUUCUUCCGUCUUGCUGUUCACCCCCCGCUAACAAUCAGUUCAUUGUGCAACUGCGAGAUUUUCCUCCUGUUCCACCUUUCAAACCUGCCUAUACCCUCAAUGUCCUUUCCAGCUCUGAAUGACCUCAUAGGUCCCCGUGCUUGGCCUUGGCCUAAAUUUUAUAUUCCAUUCCAUUCAUAAAGAUGACCUCACCUAUGUGUAUUAGAAUCAUCCUUUUCGUGACCUAUGAUUUGUGAUAAUGAGGCAGUCAGGUCAAGUAUUGGGGCACUCUGGGCCAUUCGGCGCUGAAGACAGUGACAAGAGGGGGUUUGAGAGGUUGGACUGCCACACUGACAGCCAGAAAAUGAAGGAGACGGAGCACAAGGUUCUAAAAGUGGAUGGCAUCUCUGAGGUGAUUUGCUUUGUUGAAUUGCCAACAGUAUUACUUCUGUUAUUACUUUGGAGUGGUCGGAAUUAUUGUAUGAAUAGUGUUUAUAUAAAUAUUGAUUAAUCAUUCUUAGUUGACGCCUAAUAAAGCAGGAGUUGGGGCUUGAACAUCUAAAAUUAUAGUAGAUUCACAUCAACCGUUCAUUUGAUGUCUAGGCCAGUCCCUUACGACGCUCCUGAUUGGCUGUUGACAAGCCAAUCACAGGGCUGGAAACUCUCAGUCUCCCGAGAGAGUUCACAUACGCAGAGGAACCUUACACCCGACUAGGACUUCGCAUUUCUGCAUGGAACCUCUUUCGGCGACGGAUAAAAUACGUUACAUCCUUCAGUGGACUUCCAGGAUACAUCUGUCUAGAAUCUGCUUCAUG